rnacentral:rRNA from 1 species
GAUGAACGCUAGCUACAGGCUUAACACAUGCAAGUCGAGGGGAAACGGCAUUGAGUGCUUGCACUCUUUGGACGUCGACCGGCGCACGGGUGAGUAACGCGUAUCCAACCUUCCCAUUACUGUGGGAUAACCUGCCGAAAGGCAGACUAAUACCACAUAGUCUUCGAUGACGGCAUCAGAUUUGAAGUAAAGAUUUAUCGGUAAUGGAUGGGGAUGCGUCUGAUUAGCUUGUUGGCGGGGUAACGGCCCACCAAGGCGACGAUCAGUAGGGGUUCUGAGAGGAAGGUCCCCCACAUUGGAACUGAGACACGGUCCAAACUCCUACGGGAGGCAGCAGUGAGGAAUAUUGGUCAAUGGACGGAAGUCUGAACCAGCCAAGUAGCGUGCAGGAUGACGGCCCUAUGGGUUGUAAACUGCUUUUGUAUGGGGAUAAAGUUAGGGACGUGUCCCUAUUUGCAGGUACCAUACGAAUAAGGACCGGCUAAUUCCGUGCCAGCAGCCGCGGUAAUACGGAGGGUCCAGGCGUUAUCCGGAUGUAUUGGGUUUUAAAGGGAGCGUAGGCUGGGAGAUUAAUUGUGUUGUGAAAAGAAUGACGCGCACGUCUGACUUGCAUGGCAUUGUGGGUUUCCUUGAGGACUCAUGCUUUUGCGGAUUUGUCGUUUGCUGUGAUUGUUGUGGUGUGUGGAGUGCUGCGUUGUGAUGGGUUGGCGGUUGGGCACUGACGUGUGAGGCGUGACUGUGUGGUGUCAGAAUAUUAGUGCCGUGUGAUGCAGUGUGGAAAUUCCUUGGUGUAGUUGGCUUUCUGUACACUCCGGCCGCCUGUUUUUAAAAAUAGAUGUGUAUUUGUGUUGCGUUGUGUGGCUUGAUUUUAGUGGCUGCAUGCUGUGGUC